UACGUAGGGGGCAAGCGUUGUCCGGAUUUACUGGGCGUAAAGGGCGCGUAGGCGGGGAGGUAAGUCGGGUGUGAAAUCCCUCGGCCCAACCGAGGAACUGCGCCCGAGACUGCUUCUCUUGAGUCCCGGAGAGGAAGGUGGAAUUCCCGGUGUAGCGGUGAAAUGUGUAGAGAUCGGGAGGAACACCGGUGGCGAAGGCGGCCUUCUGGACGGUGACUGACGCUGAGGCGCGAAAGCGUGGGGAGCAAACGGG
rnacentral:rRNA from 1 species